ACACCACCACGCCGUACGCUGCGUUAGCGGAAGUUUAAUGGCCCCAUUGGUGGGAUGCGUGGCCAAUAAAGGGCAAGAAUAAGGCGGAUUCCGCCUUCCUCGUGGCUGACUGGAUGCAUCCGCUGGUACUGAUUUACGAAGAGAAUGAUCAUGAAGGGCAAAUGGCAGUGAAGCAAGAAGAGCUGGCUUCAGGCUCAGAAGAGAAUGCUGUGCCUCUUCCUCAUGGUUUGCGGUGCCCUGCAUGUUCAGAGAAACUUCUCUAGUUUCAGCUGACAUCACUCUCUCAAAAGAAUCGCUGGCACAGGAAUCUUCAUCUCAAGUUCUGCUUCUUGAGAACAUAGCCUGAAACAAGCGUAUGAUUUUAAAACAAUCAUGCAAAGAGGACAAGGAUUGAAAAGAUCAAUAAUGAAGAUAAAAGCAACAACAACAAAAUGGCAGAACUAGUUCUUUUCCUACUUCUGGUAUAAUUUCUUCUUAGCCAAAAUAUGUGAUAAAAAUGACAGUUUAAUAAAACCUAACAAGAUGUCAGUUAAAAGAGAACUACAAAGAGGACUAUUUGAAAAAAAAAUUCUAUCCACUUUCUUUUUUUUUUUUUUUCGAAAUGGAGUCUUGCUCUGUCACCCGGCCUGGGCAACAGAGUGAGACCUUGUCUCAAGAAAAUUUUUAAAAAGGCAGUAUCUUCUGAUAUUAAGGAAGAUGGGUAUUUCUAGUGGAAUUUCAAUAAAAAUUUUUCUAUAAAUAGGG